rnacentral:rRNA from 1 species
UGCUUGCAUAAAUGAUUUUUGGAUUCGGAGCGAGUGGCGAACUGGUGAGUAACACGUGGGUAACCUGCCCCGAAGCGGGGGAUAACAUUUGGAAACAAGUGCUAAUACCGCAUAAUUAGUUGGAACCGCAUGGUUCCAACUUGAAAGAUGGCUCUGCUAUCACUUUGGGAUGGACCCGCGCCGUAUUAGUUAGUUGGUGAGAUAAAAGCCCACCAAGACGAUGAUACGUAGCCGACCUGAGAGGGUAAUCGGCCACAUUGGGACUGAGACACGGCCCAGACUCCUACGGGAGGCAGCAGUAGGGAAUCUUCCACAAUGGACGAAAGUCUGAUGGAGCAACGCCGCGUGAGUGAUGAAGGUUUUCGGAUCGUAAAACUCUGUUGUUAAAGAAGAACAAGUGUUAGAGUAACUGUUAACACUUUGACGGUAUUUAACCAGAAAGCCACGGCUAACUACGUGCCAGCAGCCGCGGUAAUACGUAGGUGGCAAGCGUUGUCCGGAUUUAUUGGGCGUAAAGCGAGCGCAGGCGGUUUUGUAAGUCUGCUGUGAAAGCCCUCAGCUCAACUGAGGAAGUGCAGUGGAAACUACAAAACUUGAGUACAGAAGAGGAAAGUGGAACUCCAUGUGUAGCGGUGAAAUGCGUAGAUAUAUGGAAGAACACCAGUGGCGAAGGCGGCUUUCUGGUCUGUUACUGACGCUGAGGCUCGAAAGCAUGGGUAGCGAACAGGAUUAGAUACCCUGGUAGUCCAUGCCGUAAACGAUGAAUACUAGGUGUUGGAGGGUUUCCGCCCUUCAGUGCCGCAGCUAACGCAUUAAGUAUUCCGCCUGGGGGAGUACGACCGCAAGGUUGAAACUCAAAGGAAUUGACGGGGGCCCGCACAAGUGGUGGAGCAUGUGGUUUAAUUCGAUGCUACGCGAAGAACCUUACCAGCUCUUGACAUCUUCUGCCAACCCAAGAGAUUGGGCGUUCCCUUCGGGGACAGAAUGACAGGUGGUGCAUGGUUGUCGUCAGCUCGUGUCGUGAGAUGUUGGGUUAAGUCCCGCAACGAGCGCAACCCUUAUUAUUAGUUGCCAGCAUUUAGUUGGGCACUCUAGUGAGACUGCCGGUGAUAAACCGGAGGAAGGUGGGGACGACGUCAAAUCAUCAUGCCCCUUAUGAGCUGGGCUACACACGUGCUACAAUGGAUGGUACAACGAGUCGCGAAACCGCGAGGUCAAGCUAAUCUCUUAAAGCCAUUCUCAGUUCGGAUUGCAGGCUGCAACUCGCCUGCAUGAAGUUGGAAUCACUAGUAAUCGUGGAUCAGCAUGCCACGGUGAAUACGUUCCCGGGCCUUGUACACACCGCCCGUCACACCAUGAGAGUUUGUAACACCCAAAG